UUUCCAUCCGUAAAUAAAGGAUAGAACCACACUGAUUAUCACCUCACACAUUAUUUCCACAUAAUGACCCAGAUUCUCGGCUAUGCCACUGCGUAUUUUCUCCAUGUUGCUAUAGUUUUGGUCCUUGGCCAUGUCAUGCCAGCCGAUUUCCUGCCUCAAGGUGGCCUUGAAGAACUCCCUACGCAUGCGUACUGUGAGCUUUAAAGCCAGUCUGUUGAAGGCAUCCACAUAGUAAACUCCGGAGAAAAGCAUCAGCAGAGUAUUCAGGGUCAUGAGUAUGCCGAAGGACACACUAUCCUUUCGCAGCUCCUGCAUGUUCUCCUCGUAAGAGGCAUUUGUGCUGCAAAAAAGCGACGUCCUUGAAAACUUGGCAUUGUUUUAGCCCUUUUUUGCUGCAAAAGCAUUCUUUUGUUGAAGAGUCGCUGGUUUUCUCGAAACAAUGAAGAAUUUGGGCACCGUAAAGCCGAAAAGACGUCCGAUCGCUUUGAAAGAGAGCGAAUAAUUGAUUCAUCCUCUCCUAAGAGGCCUCUACAAUAUGUUCUUUUAUAGUCUAUAAAUAGGAUUUCUAAUGGAAUACAUUCAUGAAGGGAAACAGUCAACAGUCAUGAACUAACAUAAAAUAUGUAUAGAUAAAUGUAUGUAAUAGAUUUAAAAACUGCAAGUUCAGAAAAUUUGACUUGCGGAAAAGUAAUUGAAAUAAAUUAGCCUUCAACUUUAA